AGCGUACACGGUGGAUGCCCUGGCAGUCAGAGGCGAUGAAGGACGUGCUAAUCUGCGAAAAGCGUCGGUAAGGUGAUAUGAACCGUUAUAACCGGCGAUGUCCGAAUGGGGAAACCCAGUGCAAUUCGUUGCACUAUCGUUAACUGAAUACAUAGGUUAACGAGGCGAACCGGGGGAACUGAAACAUCUAAGUACCCCGAGGAAAAGAAAUCAACCGAGAUUCCCCCAGUAGCGGCGAGCGAACGGGGAGCAGCCCAGAGUCUGAAUCAGCUUGUGUGUUAGUGGAACGGUCUGGAAAGUCCGACGGUACAGGGUGAUAGUCCCGUACACCAAAAUGCACAGGUUGUGAACUCGAAGAGUAGGGCGGGACACGUGGUAUCCUGUCUGAAUAUGGGGGGACCAUCCUCCAAGGCUAAAUACUCCUGACUGACCGAUAGUGAACCAGUACCGUGAGGGAAAGGCGAAAAGAACCCCGGCGAGGGGAGUGAAAAAGAACCUGAAACCGUGUACGUACAAGCAGUGGGAGCACCUUCGGGUGUGACUGCGUACCUUUUGUAUAAUGGGUCAGCGACUUAUAUUCUGUAGCAAGGUUAACCGUAUAGGGGAGCCGCAGGGAAACCGAGUCUUAACUGGGCGUUAAGUUGCAGGGUAUAGACCCGAAACCCGGUGAUCUAGCCAUGGGCAGGUUGAAGGUUGGGUAACACUAACUGGAGGACCGAACCGACUAAUGUUGAAAAAUUAGCGGAUGACUUGUGGCUGGGGGUGAAAGGCCAAUCAAACCGGGAGAUAGCUGGUUCUCCCCGAAAGCUAUUUAGGUAGCGCCUCGUGAAUUCAUCUUCGGGGGUAGAGCACUGUUUCGGCUAGGGGGUCAUCCCGACUUACCAACCCGAUGCAAACUACGAAUACCGAAGAAUGUUAUCACGGGAGACACACGGCGGGUGCUAACGUCCGUCGUGAAGAGGGAAACAACCCAGACCGCCAGCUAAGGUCCCAAAGUCAUGGUUAAGUGGGAAACGAUGUGGGAAGGCACAGACAGCCAGGAUGUUGGCUUAGAAGCAGCCAUCAUUUAAAGAAAGCGUAAUAGCUCACUGGUCGAGUCGGCCUGCGCGGAAGAUGUAACGGGGCUAAACCAUGCACCGAAGCUGCGGCAGCGACACUAUGUGUUGUUGGGUAGGGGAGCGUUCUGUAAGCCUGCGAAGGUGACCUGUGAGGGUUGCUGGAGGUAUCAGAAGUGCGAAUGCUGACAUAAGUAACGAUAAAGCGGGUGAAAAGCCCGCUCGCCGGAAGACCAAGGGUUCCUGUCCAACGUUAAUCGGGGCAGGGUGAGUCGACCCCUAAGGCGAGGCCGAAAGGCGUAGUCGAUGGGAAACAGGUUAAUAUUCCUGUACUUGGUGUUACUGCGAAGGGGGGACGGAGAAGGCUAUGUUAGCCGGGCGACGGUUGUCCCGGUUUAAGCAUGUAGGCUGAUUGUCCAGGCAAAUCCGGAUAAUCAAGGCUGAGGUGUGAUGACGAGGCACUACGGUGCUGAAGUAACAAAUGCCCUGCUUCCAGGAAAAGCCUCUAAGCAUCAGGUAACAUCAAAUCGUACCCCAAACCGACACAGGUGGUCAGGUAGAGAAUACCAAGGCGCUUGAGAGAACUCGGGUGAAGGAACUAGGCAAAAUGGUGCCGUAACUUCGGGAGAAGGCACGCUGGUGUGUAGGUGAAGUCCCUGCGGAUGGAGCUGAGACCAGUCGAAGAUACCAGCUGGCUGCAACUGUUUAUUAAAAACACAGCACUGUGCAAACACGAAAGUGGACGUAUACGGUGUGACGCCUGCCCGGUGCCGGAAGGUUAAUUGAUGGGGUUAUCCGUAAGGAGAAGCUCUUGAUCGAAGCCCCGGUAAACGGCGGCCGUAACUAUAACGGUCCUAAGGUAGCGAAAUUCCUUGUCGGGUAAGUUCCGACCUGCACGAAUGGCGUAAUGAUGGCCAGGCUGUCUCCACCCGAGACUCAGUGAAAUUGAACUCGCUGUGAAGAUGCAGUGUACCCGCGGCAAGACGGAAAGACCCCGUGAACCUUUACUAUAGCUUGACACUGAACAUUGAGCCUUGAUGUGUAGGAUAGGUGGGAGGCUUUGAAGCGUGGACGCCAGUCUGCGUGGAGCCAACCUUGAAAUACCACCCUUUAAUGUUUGAUGUUCUAACGUUGGCCCCUGACCGGGGUUGCGGACAGUGUCUGGUGGGUAGUUUGACUGGGGCGGUCUCCUCCCAAAGCGUAACGGAGGAGCACGAAGGUUAGCUAAUCCUGGUCGGACAUCAGGAGGUUAGUGCAAUGGCAUAAGCUAGCUUGACUGCGAGCGUGACGGCGCGAGCAGGUGCGAAAGCAGGUCAUAGUGAUCCGGUGGUUCUGAAUGGAAGGGCCAUCGCUCAACGGAUAAAAGGUACUCCGGGGAUAACAGGCUGAUACCGCCCAAGAGUUCAUAUCGACGGCGGUGUUUGGCACCUCGAUGUCGGCUCAUCACAUCCUGGGGCUGAAGUAGGUCCCAAGGGUAUGGCUGUUCGCCAUUUAAAGUGGUACGCGAGCUGGGUUUAGAACGUCGUGAGACAGUUCGGUCCCUAUCUGCCGUGGGCGCUGGAGAAUUGAGGGGGGCUGCUCCUAGUACGAGAGGACCGGAGUGGACGCAUCACUGGUGUUCGGGUUGUCAUGCCAAUGGCACUGCCCGGUAGCUAAAUGCGGAAGAGAUAAGUGCUGAAAGCAUCUAAGCACGAAACUUGCCCCGAGAUGAGUUCU
rnacentral:rRNA from 1 species